UACAGAGGGGGCAAGCGUUGUUCGGAAUUACUGGGCGUAAAGGGCGCGUAGGCGGUGCUCUAAGUCGGAUGUGAAAACUCUGGGCUCAACCCAGAGCCUGCAUCCGAAACUGGAGUGCUAGAGUUCUGGAGGGGGUAGCGGAAUUCCAGGUGUAGCGGUGAAAUGCGUAGAUAUCUGGAGGAACACCGGUGGCGAAGGCGGCGUUCUGGACUGCUACUGACACUGAGGAACGAAAGCCAGGGGAGCAAACGGG
rnacentral:rRNA from 1 species